UUGGAGGGCAAGUCUGGUGCCAGCAGCCGCGGUAAUUCCAGCUCCAAUAGCGUAUAUUAAAGUUGCUGCAGUUAAAAAGCUCGUAGUUGAAUUUCGGGACCAUCAUGUCGGUCGUGCCUCGGUACGUACUGGUAUUGUUGGUUUCUCCCUUCUGACGAACCAUGAUGUCAUUUAUUUGGUGUUGUGGGGAAUCAGGACUGUUACUUUGAAAAAAUUAGAGUGUUUAAAGCAGGCUCACGCUUGAAUACAUUAGCAUGGAAUAAUGAAAUAGGACGUUUGAUUCUAUUUUGUUGGUUUCUAGGAUCGACGUAAUGAUUAAUAGGGAUAGUUGAGGGCAUUAGUAUUCAAUUGUCAGAGGUGAAAUUCUUGGAUUUAUUGAAGACUGACUACUGCGAAAGCAUUUGCCAAGGAUGUUUUCAUUAAUCAAGAACGAAAGUUAGGGGAUCGAAGACGAUCAGAUACCGUCGUAGUCUUAACCAUAAACUAUGCCGACUAGGGAUCGGAUGAUGUUAAUUUUUUAAUGACUCAUUCGGCGCCUUACGGGAAAC
rnacentral:rRNA from 1 species